CUGAGUUAGGGUCUUCUAGGCCCGACCUCCAACCCUUGUGUUUAACAUACCACGUUGCUUCGGCGGGCCCGCCCCUCUGGGGGCCGCCGGGGGUUCACUGAACCUCUGGCCUGUUGCCCGUCGGUGGCCAACCAACAAACUCUUAGUGAACUGUGUUGUCUAAGUCUUAAAUCAUAAUUAAAUCA
rnacentral:misc_RNA from 1 species